GUCUUCUUCAUCCUGAGUUGCUGCUGCUUCUCUUUUUCUUUAUAGGCAAUGAAUUGAGAGUCUGUGCCAAAGAUUCUGUCCCACCACGUGAAGGUCGAUGCAUAAUUGCCAAUAAAGUUCAUGUGAUGGAAAUCGUGAAAACGGGCUCCAGCAUAGAAAGGCACCAAAUGAAGAGGGUUCAGUGGAAUAUCAUAGCCACUGUGCACAUCAAUGGUUUCCAUCAGGCGACAUAUUACCCAUGCC
rnacentral:lncRNA from 1 species